UACGUAGGGUGCGAGCGUUGUCCGGAAUUAUUGGGCGUAAAGAGCUCGUAGGCGGCUUGUUGCGUCUGCCGUGAAAACUCACAGCUCAACUGUGGGCGUGCGGGCGAUACGGGCAGACUGGAGUACUGCAGGGGAGACUGGAAUUCCUGGUGUAGCGGUGGAAUGCGCAGAUAUCAGGAGGAACACCGGUGGCGAAGGCGGGUCUCUGGGCAGUAACUGACGCUGAGGAGCGAAAGCGUGGGGAGCGAACAGG
rnacentral:rRNA from 1 species